CUCUAUCUAAACCACAAUUCGUUUCAUCCGCCGCUCCACCUUUCUCUACAAACCCUAGAUCCUCCACCGCUCCUCCACCUUUCAUCCAUGGAACCGGUCGUCGCCAUCACCGUCUUCUCCCCUUCUCCACUCCAACAGUCGCUUCAUGAUCUAGGGUUUCACUGAGAAACCAGUCGUUUCAUGAUCUAGGGUUUUUCUGUAGAUCCGAUGCUAUCUCAACAGAUUCGACACCAGAUCCGACACCCUAUCGAUUUCUAUGGCUUCUUUCCCGGUGGCUUCAAGAUCCGACACUAUCUCAGUAGAUCCGACACCAGAUCUACUGGUUUGACUGUAGGAUCUUCCGUUUGGUUGUGGGUUCGUCAACGAUGGUGGUUGUGGGUGGAAGAUCUGGCCAGAUCUAUGGCUCUGUUCUUUAAAUUUCUUGGAGGAUCUUAAGCUCAGUUUCAUGGGUGAUUUUAAGUUCAGAAGGGAGAAGGAACUGAGACUGAAGAUGUUCUUGAUGAUGGAAUCGUGAAAAACAUACA